rnacentral:rRNA from 1 species
UACGUAGGGGGCAAGCGUUGUCCGGAAUUAUUGGGCGUAAAGAGCGCGUAGGCGGUCCGGUAAGUCGGCUGUGAAAGUCAAGGGCUCAACCCUUGAAAGCCGGCCGAUACUGUCGGACUAGAGUCCGGAAGAGGAGAGUGGAAUUCCUGGUGUAGCGGUGAAAUGCGCAGAUAUCAGGAAGAACACCUAUGGCGAAGGCAGCUCUCUGGGACGGUACUGACGCUGAGACGCGAAAGCGUGGGGAGCGAACAGG